rnacentral:rRNA from 1 species
UGGUAGUCCACGCCNUAAACGAUGUCGAUUAGCUGUUGGGCAGCAUGACUGCUUAGUAGCGAAGCUAACGCGUGAAAUCGACCGCCUGGGGAGUACGGUCGCAAGAUUAAAACUCAAAGGAAUUGACGGGGACCCGCACAAGCGGUGGAUGAUGUGGAUUAAUUCGAUGCAACGCGAAGAACCUUACCUGGUCUUGACAUGUACGGAACCCUCCAGAGACGGAGGGGUGCCUUCGGGAGCCGUAACACAGGUGCUGCAUGGCUGUCGUCAGCUCGUGUCGUGAGAUGUUGGGNUAANNNNNNNCAACGAGCGCAACCCUUGUCAUUAGUUGCCAUCAUUAAGUUGGGCACUCUAAUGAGACUGCCGGUGACAAGCCGGAGGAAGGUGGGGAUGACGUCAAGUCCUCAUGGCCCUUAUGACCAGGGCUUCACACGUCAUACAAUGGUCGGUACAGAGGGUAGCCAAGCCGCGAGGCGGAGCCAAUCUCACAAAACCGAUCGUAGUCCGGAUUGCACUCUGCAACUCGAGUGCAUGAAGUCGGAAUCGCUAGUAAUCGCAGGUCAGCAUACUGCGGUGAAUACGUUCCCGGGUCU